rnacentral:rRNA from 1 species
AGUGGACGCUGGCGGUAGGCCUAACACAUGCAAGUCGAACGGCAGCACAGUAAGAGCUUGCUCUUACGGGUGGCGAGUGGCGGACGGGUGAGGAAUACAUCGGAAUCUACUUUUUCGUGGGGGAUAACGUAGGGAAACUUACGCUAAUACCGCAUACGACCUACGGGUGAAAGCAGGGGAGCUUCGGACCUUGCGCGAUUGAAUGAGCCGAUGUCGGAUUAGCUAGUUGGCGGGGUAAAGGCCCACCAAGGCGACGAUCCGUAGCUGGUCUGAGAGGAUGAUCAGCCACACUGGAACUGAGACACGGUCCAGACUCCUACGGGAGGCAGCAGUGGGGAAUAUUGGACAAUGGGCGCAAGCCUGAUCCAGCCAUACCGCGUGGGUGAAGAAGGCCUUCGGGUUGUAAAGCCCUUUUGUUGGGAAAGAAAAGCAGCAGGUUAAUACCCCGCUGUUCUGACGGUACCCAAAGAAUAAGCACCGGCUAACUUCGUG